UAAAUCCUUUAACGAGGAUCUAUUGGAGGGCAAGUCUGGUGCCAGCAGCUGUGAUAAUUCCAACUCCAAUAGCGUAUAUUAAAGUAGUUGCGGUUAAAAGCUCGUAGUUGGAUCUCAGUUCCAGACGGGUGGUCCNCCCCUGGUGGUUACUNCCUGGCCGGAACAAAUCCAGCCGGUUUUCCUUUAUGCUCUUCACUGAGUGUUUUGGGUGACCGGCACGUUUACUUUGAAAAAAUUAANNGGCUCAAANCAGGCGUAACGCCUGAAUAAUGGUGCANGGAAUAAUGGAAUAGGACCUCGGUUNUAUUUUGUUGGUUUUCNGAACACGAGGUAAUGAUUAAGAGGGACAGACGGGGGCAUUCGUAUUGCGACGCUAGAGGUGAAA
rnacentral:rRNA from 1 species